GCCUGUCAUGAGCAUUAAUAUGGUUCAGAACAACAAAUCUUGGUGUGAUGUGAUUGCAAAAAGGGAUCUUAAUGGGAAGAACUGUGUUAUAUAGACUGUGGUUUAGUUUUGGCAAUAAUUAAAGAGAGCAUGAAAUUUUCUUUCAUUCUAAGUUUUAUAGCACUCUUGACUACACUGUGACUUUUAUAUUCAGAAGGCAUGUCUUGGACAACCAAACAGAUGCAACAAACCAGUUAAACUUGAUGGUGCUUUUACAGAGAGACUGCAAGAAUGCUGUAAUUAAACUGCUUGCCGUGAUCACAAGACUAUACUUCUCCUUGAAUACUUCCAAAAGCAUGAGAGUUUCCCUAUAUGAGUCUGAAACAGAAUGGCAACUUGCAGACAACAAUUCUGGUUGAGAUUCAGAAUACUAACAAGCAUGAAAGAACAUGAUCCCGGACCAAGAGAAAGAAGAAUGGCCACUCACAGCAGCAUACAGAAUGCACAGUGGAACUACAAUAAAGAAAGAUGGUGGCUAAACCCUACAUCAGGGUUGCAUUGUCUAAAACUCUGCAUGGGAGUCGUACACUGAUUGCACCAUGCAAUGCUUGUGUUAAAUUGUGACACUGCACAACUGAAGGCUCACCCAAAUGUACAGUCAAGAGCAGAACUGAAUGCAAUUCUGCAUCUCAUAUGAAUCUGAAUGCACUUUUGCACAGUCUGACACUGCAUACUUAACUCCACUUUUGCAAUGUUUAACUGAAUGUAGACAUUCUGGUUUCGGCAAAAAUCUCCAACCAACCACUUUCACAAGGAAACUUAAGUAUGUAUGGGAAUUAGGCCAAGAUUUCUAUGAGUUCAUGGACAAUGUUUUUAAUAGGAGACCUUAAUGUUCAUGUUUUUAUUGAUUUUGUUAUAGUUUUAUUAUCCGAUUGUUUUUAUUGUAUUGAAAUUGUAUUUUAUGGUCUUGGCACCAAUUGUAAACCGUCCCAAGUCACCUGCAGUCUGAGAGGGACGGUAUAGAAAUAUAGUAAAUAAAUAAUUGUAAUUCUUUUAACAAAAUGCAUUUUAGAACUGUAGCUGCAUUUUCAUCUCAUCUCCAAAAUAUUUAAUGUAGAACAUAUAAGGAACAAUACACUAAAUAUAUUUAGUAGUCACACUUCCAUAAUAUAUAAUGCAUGUUUUGAUUACUGUGCAGAAUAAUAACAUUUCAUUAGAAAUACC